rnacentral:rRNA from 1 species
GCACCACAAGGGGUGAAGCCUGCGGUUCAAUUGGAGUCAACGCCAGAAAUCUUACCCGGAGAGACAGCAGAAUGAAGGUCAAGCUGAAGACUUUACCAGACAAGCUGAGAGGUGGUGCAUGGCCGUCGCCAGCUCGUGCCGUGAGUUGUCCUGUUAAGUCAGGUAACGAGCGAGAUCCCUGCCUCUAGUUACCACCAUUACUCUCAGGAGUAGUGGGGCGAAUUAGCGGGACCGCCGUAGUUAAUACGGAGGAAGGAAGGGGCCACGGCAGGUCAGUAUGCCCCGAAACUCUGGGGCCACACGCGGGCUGCAAUGGUAACGACAAUGUGUUCCGGAUCCGAAAGGAGGAGGUAGUCCAGAAACGUUACCACAGUUAUGACUGAGGGCUGCAACUCGCCCUCACGAAUAUGGAAUCCCUAGUAACUGCGUGUCAUUAUCGCGCGGUGAAUACGUCCCUGCUCCUUGCACACACCGCCCGUCGUUUCAUUGAAGUUUGCUUUUAGCGAGGUGAUGUCUCAUUGGCGUUAUCGAACUUGAGGUAAGCAACAAGGGAA